rnacentral:rRNA from 1 species
UACAGAGGGGGCAAGCGUUGUUCGGAAUUACUGGGCGUAAAGCGCGUGCAGGCGGCCCUGCAAGUCGGAUGUGAAAUCCCACGGCUCAACCGUGGAAGUGCAUUCGAAACUGCAGGGCUAGAGUCCUGGAGAGGAAGGUGGAAUGCUUGGUGUAGAGGUGAAAUUCGUAGAUAUCAAGCGGAACACCGGUGGCGAAGGCGGCCUUCUGGACAGUGACUGACGCUGAGACGCGAAAGCGUGGGGAGCAAACAGG